AAUGACUCUCGGCAACGGAUAUCUCGGCUCUCGCAUCGAUGAAGAACGCAGCGAAAUGCGAUACUUGGUGUGAAUUGCAGGAUCCCGCGAACCAUCGAGUCUUUGAACGCAAGUUGCGCCCGAAGCCUUUCGGCCGAGGGCACGUCUGCCUGGGUGUCACUC
rnacentral:rRNA from 1 species